rnacentral:rRNA from 2 species
UACGUAGGUGGCGAGCGUUGUCCGGAAUUACUGGGUGUAAAGGGCGUGUAGGCGGGGAUGUAAGUCAGAUGUGAAAUACCAAGGCUUAACUUUGGGGCUGCAUCUGAAACUAUGUUUCUUGAGUGCUGGAGAGGAAAGCGGAAUUCCUAGUGUAGCGGUGAAAUGCGUAGAUAUUAGGAGGAACACCAGUGGCGAAGGCGGCUUUCUGGACAGUAACUGACGCUGAGGCGCGAAAGCGUGGGGAGCGAAC